GACGAACGCUGGCGGCGUGCUUAACACAUGCAAGUCGAACGGUCCUGUUUUUGAAGCGCUUCGGCGUGGAGGGAGCGGGUUAGUGGCGUACGGGUGAGUAAUGCGCGAGGACCUGCCCGCGGGAGGGGGACAGCAGUUGGAAACGGCUGGUGAUACCCCGUAAGCCGGGAGGUAAAAGGGCGGAGACGCCCGCCUGCGGAUGGACUCGCGUCCUAUCAGCUAGUUGGUGAGGCAACGGCUCACCAAGGCGACGACGGGUAGCCGGCCUGAGAGGGUGUCCGGCCACACUGGAACUGAGACACGGUCCAGACUCCUACGGGAGGCAGCAGUGGGGAAUUUUGGGCAAUGGGGGAGACCCUGACCCAGCGACGCCGCGUGAGGGACGAAGGCCCUUGGGUCGUAAACCUCUUUUGCAGGGGAAGAAGAAGAUGACGGUACCUUGCGAACAAGUCCCGGCUAACUACGUG
rnacentral:rRNA from 1 species